rnacentral:rRNA from 1 species
GAUGAACGCUGGCGGCGUGCCUAAUACAUGCAAGUCGAGCGAACAGAUCAUGAGCUUGCGGCUCUGACGUUAGCGGCGGACGGGUGAGUAACGCGUGGAUAACCUACCUAUAAGACGGGUAUAACUUCGGGAAACCGGAUCUAAUACCGUAUAAUAUAUUGAACCGCAGGGGUCAAUAGUGAAAUACGGUUUUUGGGUCACUUAUAGAGGGAUCCGCGCCGGAUUGGAUGGUUGGUAAGGUAACGGCUUAGCAAGGCAACUAGGGGUAGACGAGGUGAUGGACGGGUAGGCGACACUGGAACGGGACCACCGACAAGAGUCCUGCGGGAGGGCGCAGAAGCGAACGUUAGGCAACGGGCGAAAGCAUGACGCAACAACGGCGAGCGUGUGACGAAGGCCCUGGGAUCGUAAAACUCUGCUACUAGGGAAGAACCACUGUGUCAGUAAACGAGCCGGUAUUGACGGUAACUAAUAAGAAAGCACCGGCUAACUACGUG